UGGGAUGGGAUGGGGAUGGGAUGGAUUUCCCAGCCCCCUGCCCCCUGCCCCCCGUGCGCCUUCUCGUGCGUGGUGCGUGGCCGCCUGCCGCCGGCUUCUCCCGCUCCCCUGCCCUCCCACAUCGCCUCUCCUCCUCCUCCUCCCCGCGCGCUGGGUGCAAUGAGAAAUGUACUUGGCUCCCGAUCCUAGAGUGGGAGGUGAAGGCAAAAAACGCGACUUCAGCUCCACGGCGCGUGGGAGGUGGCUGAUGGCAGCUCUCCACCCUUGACUCCUUGCUGAGGCUGAGGUGGGAGCCCCACGGCCACACCUGGACACCUCUGAGCGCUCUGGGCUGAUCCCACCGUCCCGUGCGUGGGGACAGCCGUGGCGUUGGGUUGCUGGAGUGAAGCAGGGGGCUCCUGGUGUCCCCGUGAGCAGCGCCGUGCCCUCGGACCCCUCGGACCUUCCCACGGGCAGAGUUUUGGGGCCACGUGCUUGGAUUUCCCCGGGGGAGCCCAUGGGGAGGGAGCUGCUGGGGCUGCCCGGCUGAGGACCACUGCUGGAGACCCCCAGGACCCCGACCUGGCCAGAAGAGGAGCAGCCCUGGGAUUUGAAGAGAAAUGCAGCUGAGUGCAGCACCGUGGCACAGCCCGAGGCAUUUAGAAGCAGAGCCCUGGUUCCUGGCAAUUUUUCAUGUACCCAGGACGGGGCGGAGGGCACAAGGUGCUGCUGCGCUCGUCUCAUUUUUGCUCCCACCCCCAUGGCAGAGAGGUUGUGCACACACGCAAGGCUGGGUGCUGCUCCUCCACCCUCCCCAGCAGCCUGCUUGCCCCCCGGGGGCUGCGCCCUCACCCCCAAAUUCUGGCCGUGCCCCCCCCCCAGCACCGCCGACCCCAAGCCCCGGUUGCCAGAAGGGCACUGCCCUCACCCAGCCGUGAAGUCCUGGCCUGAAAAAGGAAGAAGGAGACUUUAGGAAAGGGCUUUGCAGUGCCUGCUGCAGCCGGGCUCGCUGCGAGGGGAGGAUUUAGCUUAAAGCCUGUGCAAAUGCUCUGCACUUAUUGCAGGUUUCCUUCCCCUGGCUUCUCGGAUCCCAGGAGACCCGCACACAGCCGGAGCUCCAGCUCUGGCUUUCAGCUGUGCCGGGGGGGGAUGCGUGGGGAGCACAGCCCCAGCUGAAAGGGGAGAGGGUCAACAGGGCCCCCCCGACCCACCUGGGGCUGCCCCACUGCCCGCACCCACCCCCCGUGGGGCUGGGACCCCCGGAUUUAAUCACACCUCCGUCACCGUGCCAUGGUGCUAUUCCCUCCUGAGCACCAGAAGUGCGGUGAGACCCCUCUCGGGGGCUCGUCCCCAGCCCCCUGUCCCCACACAGCCGUCCUGGAGAGGUGGUGUCCCCCUGCCUGGUGUCCCCUGCCUGGUGUCCCCCUCGACCCCUCGCCAGCUCCAGUCCUGGGGAAGUGAAACCCAAGCUGUUUGUGCGGCGCAAAGCCCGGGGCAGACAUUCCUCCCCUGAUUGAAACCAGACCUCCCGCGAUGCUGCCGGCGCUGGUGGGGAAGGCGUACGGAGCGGGGCAGAGCGGGGUCUCCUUCCAAAACAGAUUUAGGUUCUUAGGUUUCCCCACUGGGUUGAGGUCCGAGUGCUGCGGCCUCGCGCAGAGACCUGGAGCUGAAGCGAUCCCCGAGGGGACCCCAGCCCCUGGCUGCUCCCUGACCCCCAUCCCAGCCCUCCCGGCACCACAGGAUGGGGAUGUCUGCCCCGGGGGGGUCCCGGAGGGGCAGGGACGUGGCUGGGGUGGAAAAUGCUGCUGAGGCUCCGGCGCAGGGAGCGCGGGAUGACGAUGGACAAACACGGCCUGGCAGCAUGCUGCGGGAACAGGGGAGGAAGGUGGGUGAGAUGGGGAUGUCCCAUCUUGUGUCACCCCCUCCUUCACCCCCCCAAAAAAAUCCCUACCAAGCCGCACAACCUGAAAAAACAAACAUUGAGAAAUCCAAGGGGGAAAAAAAGGGAAGUGGGGAGGUCAGCGGGGCUCGGCACGGGGCUCGGCUGGCGAGCAGGGCCAGAAGCUGCUGAGGCAGCCCCUGGUGAGCGUUUCCCCCCCUGGGACCAACCUGAUCCCAUCCCAGGAGCUGCUGCAACCCCCCCACAACCCUCCCCACCGAGCUUUUCGGGAACUGAAACUCCGUGCUGCAAGCUGUGGGGAUGAAGCAAGAGGCGCUCGGGUAGGAAGCGGCACCCCGAGGGAGAGGAAGAGCCCAGGAGGAAGGCUGGCUCCGACCCUGGCACCACGUAGCAGCGCUCCGGAGUCAAACCAGGAUUUCUAGGUCUCGUUGCCUGUUGGUGAGGCUCUGAGGGCUCGGAAAAGCUGCUGGUCCCGGGGGGAGGAAAGGAGAGAAGCGCUCGGAGCCCGAAUUGGCCGGAUCGGAAGGGAAAAGCCGAUUUCUCUGGCACUCCCACUAGCAGCCCGGGUCCCAGGUGAGGCCACAUCCAGCCUCUCCUCCCCAGCCUCCUGCCUGCUGCCCCGACGUGGGGACAUCUCCUGGGGACAGAGCCCGCGGGGCUCCAGCUGGGGUGGGCACAGGGCAUGUGGGGGCUGCUGCAGCCUCGUGUCCUGCACCACGACCCCAGGGCGUGAAGGACAGCUCCAGGCUCUCCGUCUGCAGGUCCCAGUGAUCUCAGCCCUGCGAGGACACCUUUGGUGUUGAGGCUGAGGAUUCCUUGGCCUGGGCUGGGGCAGGGACAUAUUUCCUAACCCCCCCAGCCUGCAAAGCACUGGCCAAACGCCCACGGGCGGCUCGUGGGAUCGCCCUGCCCUGCCUUCCCUCGGACCAGUUCCCCUGAUAACCCUGCCCAAACAGCUCCCAGCCAGCCACCAACCCUUCCUCCUCCUCCUCCUCCUGCAGCCUCCCACCUUGGCACACGCUGACACCCCCCCAAAAAAAAAAACCAAACCCCUCUCCGCUCUGCACCGGCAGCCACAACACCGACAAAAUCCCAUCGCCCCGGCUCCCCUCCUGCAGCUGAAGGGGAACCGGGGCUAAAUGCUGGCAGAAGAAACAAAUUCCCCAAUUUUGCAGGGAGCACAUGGGGGGGCAGCCAGCAGCCCCCUGCCGAUGCCCCCCAGGAGCCGCGCCGCAGCCCGCGGGCACGGGGCGCUGGCACGGCCCCCUCCCAGCGGCGGGGCUGGCGCGGCCCCCACAGCUCUCCCAGCUCCACAAAUUCGUUAAUAAAAGAUCAGUUUGCAGGCGCAGCUUGCUGUAGAUGACAGCAUUAGAGGCGCAUCUGCUUCUGCUAAGCACCGGGCUCGUGCUGGGUUUCUUUGGUCCAUUUGCGGCAGGGAAGAGUUGCUUUCGGCAGUCAGAGCUGUCUCGCGUCUCAGAGAGAUGGUGGGGGGGUAGGGGGUGUGGGGGGGAAGAUAUAUUUUCGGCUCUAUUUAGCCACAAAAAUUUGGUUUCGGAAUAAAGAGAAAUAUUCCCGUUUGCUGCCAAAGCGAGGCAGGCGAUCUCUGCGCGAGCCUCCGUUCGUUUGAGAACUCGGUGUCCUGCUGGAAAAAUAAAUGCUCUGAUGG